rnacentral:tRNA from 1 species
GCAUUGGUGGUAUAGUGUUGAGCAUAGCUGCCUUCCAAAGAGUUGACCUGGGUUCAAUUUCCGGCCAAUGUA